AUUGAACGCUGGCGGCAGGCUUAGCACAUGCAAGUCGAGCGGGGUGAUGGUGCUUGCACUAUCACUUAGCGGCGGACGGGUGAGUAAUGCUUAGGAAUCUGCCUAUUAGUGGGGGACAACAUCUCGAAAGGGAUGCUAAUACCGCAUACGUCCUACGGGAGAAAGCAGGGGAUCACUUGUGACCUUGCGCUAAUAGAUGAGCCUAAGUCGGAUUAGCUAGUUGGUGGGGUAAAGGCCUACCAAGGCGACGAUCUGUAGCGGGUCUGAGAGGAUGAUCCGCCACACUGGGACUGAGACACGGCCCAGACUCCUACGGGAGGCAGCAGUGGGGAAUAUUUGACAAUGGGGGGAACCCUGAUCCAGCCAUGCCGCGUGUGUGAAGAAGGCCUUAUGGUUGUAAAGCACUUUAAGCGAGGAGGAGGCUCUUUUGGUUAAUACCCAAGAUGAGUGGACGUUACUCGCAGAAUAAGCACCGGCUAACUCUGUGCCAGCCGCCGCGGUAA
rnacentral:rRNA from 1 species